AGUCCAGUCCACAGGCAAGAGAUUGAUAUUCCAGAUUGGGCAGUGAGAGAUACGCAGGGAGAGAUAAUUUCCUGUCCAUGGCGUGCUGUUUUAUUCAAGUCUUCAGUUGAGUGGCUUCUGUGACCUGACUGAGGAUGGCCAAAUGGAACCCUGCAAUGAGAGUGACCACUCACUAGCUGAAUUCACACGUCGGAAGCAGCAGAGGCCUCAAGGUGACUCAAGAUUGUGGCAAGCUGAAAAUCAAAACAACCGUACAGAGCUGAUGAGCAGGUCGUCCUUGGUUGCUGAAGAAAGUGUGACCUUGAGUAGUUCCUGGUGCAAACGGACUGGAAGACACAGGGCCACUUUUAUCAGCAUUUGAUUUAUGCGGUUAUAUGGAAUUCCAAGGUCAAGAGGGCUCCUGGCAUUGGUUUAGUGCUUUUCUGUUGCCAUCUUGACUUAAAACUUAGUACUGUUUUAACAAGAUUUUUUCUAUUUGUGUUUUCUUUUGAACCCUAGGAUUCGUGUAGUUGGCUUUGGUAAGGGGUCAGGUGAAUCAUGGGUAGCAGGACAAUUCUGUCUUCACACUGGCCAACACCUGGACUUUACUCGUUGUCUGUCUGCUUCCCCACAGCACCGAUCAAACUUCAUGGGUCAAUUGGUCAUACUGAGACUCAGCCAGAUUUCCCUCCCACACACCUUCCAGGCGUGAUAUUGACAAAUUCUGCUCAGGCUUCUUGUCUUGGCUUUGCCAGUAGUUGAUAGGAAGAAAGAGACCACAGCAGUGUUGUGGAGGAAAAGGCUAUUAAAUAGGGAGCCUUUAAAAAGCUGCUCAGGUCAUCUAUGAAUGGUGGAGGGAGGGACAGUAAGAGGGGCUGGGCAGAUGGUGGAGUAGAGGUACGGGAAGGGCAACAUAGGA